GUGCCAGCCGCCGCGGUAAUACGUAGGUGGCAAGCGUUGUCCGGAUUUAUUGGGCGUAAAGCGAGCGCAGGCGGUUCUUUAAGUCUGAUGUGAAAGCCCCCGGCUCAACCGGGGAGGGUCAUUGGAAACUGGGGAACUUGAGUGCAGAAGAGGAGAGUGGAAUUCCAUGUGUAGCGGUGAAAUGCGUAGAUAUAUGGAGGAACACCAGUGGCGAAAGCGGCUCUCUGGUCUGUAACUGACGCUGAGGUUCGAAAGCGUGGGUAGCAAACAGGAUUAGAUACCCUGGUAGUCCACGCUGUAAACGAUGAAUGCUAAGUGUUGGAGGGUUUCCGCCCUUCAGUGCCGCAGCAAACGCAUUAAGCAUUCCGCCUGGGGAGUACGACCGCAAGGUUGAAACUCAAAGGAAUUGACGGGGCCCGCACAAGCGGUGGAGCAUGUGGUUUAAUUCGAAGCAACGCGAAGAACCUUACCAAGGUCUGACAUCUUCUGAUAACCUAAGAGAUUAGGUCGUUCCCGUUCGGGGACAGAAUGACAGGUGG
rnacentral:rRNA from 1 species